rnacentral:misc_RNA from 1 species
CAUGAGCUGCGAUGGACCCGUGACUGCCUGCAGGACCCCCGCCGUUGUGCGGCCGACUGCCGGCGCUCGUGUCCCUUCAAUCGUGCGGGCUCCGUGCCCGUGCCCUUGACAAGUGCUUGCAUGCUGCUACCCGUCCCACGGGAAGCGGUCUUGCCCACACGCUGCCAUCGUCGCGCGCGCCCUCCGGGCGUGACGCGUCGGCCACUAAGCGCCCGUGUCGCUGCCUCGUGGCUCUAGCCUCUCGUAGGCUGGCGUCACCAAGGCUGCCUCGCCCGCGCUCUUGGUCCCGGAUGCCGCUGACGCUGAAGGCCGAUGGGCACCUCGGUGCCCCGUGCCUUUCUAAGCUAAGUCCCUUUGGGAACGGAACAACGACAGCUAGCCCGGCCGUCGUCGCCGCCGUGCCUGCCCUGCGCAGGCCGGCGCGUGCGGACGUCGGUGCUAGCUCGUCGCGGAGGACGUGCU